CCUACGGGAGGCAGCAGUGGGGAAUCUUGCGCAAUGGGCGAAAGCCUGACGCAGCCAUGCCGCGUGAAUGAUGAAGGUCUUAGGAUUGUAAAAUUCUUUCACCGGGGACGAUAAUGACGGUACCCGGAGAAGAAGCCCCGGCUAACUUCGUGCCAGCAGCCGCGGUAAUACGAAGGGGGGCUAGCGUUGCUCGGAAUUACUGGGCGUAAAGGGAGCGUAGGCGGAUAGUUUAGUCAGAGGUGAAAGCCCAGGGCUCAACCUUGGAAUUGCCUUUGAUACUGGCUAUCUUGAGUGUGGGAGAGGUUAGCGGAACUCCGAGUGUAGAGGUGAAAUUCGUAGAUAUUCGGAAGAACACCAGUGGCGAAGGCGGCUAACUGGCCCAUUACUGACGCUGAGGCUCGAAAGCGUGGGGAGCAAACAGGAUUAGAUACCCUGGUAGUCCACGCCGUAAACGAUGAGUGCUAGUUGUCGGCAUGCAUGCAUGUCGGUGACGCAGCUAACGCAUUAAGCACUCCGCCUGGGGAGUACGGUCGCAAGAUUAAAACUUAAGGAAAUUGACGG
rnacentral:rRNA from 1 species